CUGUUCUAAGGGUCCUCCCAGUUCUGAAUUUCUCUGUUCUAAGGCUGCUCUCUUGGCUCAGACACUCUAUUCUAUGAUGUUCUGUGAAAGGGACCUUAGAGCUGACCUAGCUGCCAUUCAUCUAGCCCUUCCUUUAAGCACCUCCCCUGCAUUAUUUCAUCUCAUCCUCACAUCAGCAGGGAAAGCUGGUAUUGCUGGUAUGGUGCCCAUUUUAAAGGAAAUAGUCCCAGAGAGGCUGCAGGAAGUGCCUGUGGGUCACACAUUUGGAACAGAGUGGGUGCCCAGGCCUCUCCUCUCCUGUCUUUAAGCCUGGCAAGCUUUCUGCUAAAGCUCUGGUUUUGCAGUGUCUGAGUGGUCCUGUGUUCCUGUCAUCCCCUGUUCCAUUUCUCUGUUUAUCUGUUUUUCUGAGUAUCUCUCUUGUUCUGGAAGCCUGUGUCUCUGUUUAUCUCUCAGUGUUUUUCUCUCUCUCUCUCACUGUGUAUGUCUCUGGAGGAAGUCUCCUUCGCUCCGGUUCCCCCCUUCUGCUUCCCUCAGUUCCGCCCAGCACGGCAUGUCCAGGUCCUAGUCCUGGCCCGGCCCAUUCGGCCUCCUUGGGGCAGCCCCAGCCUUGGCUAGCCCAGCCCGGCGGCAGCGGUUGCAAGUUGCUAGGAGACAAAUAUUUAGCCACAGCCACCGCAGCGGCUGCGAACUGGGUCUCUGGGCCACGGCAGCAGGAGGGAAGGAGGAGGGGCCCGGGAACAGCCUGGGAACAGCUUAGAGCCAGAACUGGAGGGAGGCACACUGACACACAGACGGAGCUGAGUUCACCCGCAGAGACAGUCCCGAGACACCCAGAGACACCAAGGGCUAGAAGAGAUGAGAGAGAGAGACAAAGAUAAACAUAGAGACAGAAGCUGGGAGCUGGAGAAAGACAGCCAGAGAGACAAAGUCAGAGAGGAGAGAUGGACACAGUGGGCUAGAGUCAGACACCCACGGGGGCUAUCCGCACCUAAAGAGACGCGGAGAGACUUAAAAGCAGAACAACAUUAGAGAUGCGGUUGGCGUGGCCUGGACGACAUCGGAGAAAAUGAGGCCCCAGACUGAGUGCCUGACCUUCUGUGACUCUCUAAGGUCUGGUGGAACCCUGACCCCAGAUGUCCCUCUGAUGGAUGGACCUGAAGACUGAAAAGAGCCGGAUUCCAGCCACAGACAGAACCCUGACCUCAGACAUGGAACAAGCCCUGUCACCAUCAGACUCCAGAACCUCUGACUGAGCCCUGGCUCCGGAUCCACAAAGGCUUUGAGCCCUGGUCUAGGUCUAUACUCACCCUUGUCUCUGGCCCCAAAUUGAACCACACUCCUUCAGCUUUGGAAUGAACUUGCUUUAGACUGAGCCUUAACCUUGGCCCCCCACUGAACCCUGACUUCUGACCUUGGCUCCAUACUAGGCUCUGACCUCUGACCUUGGCCUCCACUCAGUCCUAGCCUCUGACCUUGGCCCCCACACUCAGCUCUGAUCUCUGACCUUGGCCUCCACUCAGUCCUAGUCUCUGACCUUGGCCCCCACACUCAGCCCUGAUCUCUGACCUCAGCCUGGAUCCUGGCCUCAGCCUUGGACCAAUCCCUGAUCCUGGCCUGAGACUGAGCCUUAACUGUCUUCUAACUGUAGGCACCCAAUCUGAGCCUUAUUUCCAGCCCUGGGCCCUGGGCCCUGAGCCCUGAGCCUAGUCUUAACCCAACCCAAAUCCUUGACUUUCUUCUCAGGCUGAUCCUUGGACUUGAGCCCUGACUCUGACACCAGACUCAGUCUGAUCUUGGCUUCAGACUGAGCCUUGGCCCUGACUCCAGCCUCGGAUUCAAAUGUGACCCAGGGUUCAGACUGGAUCCAUAUUCAGUUCUGACUGCCUCCCUCCCCCACCACACCUAGAAUUGAACCCUGAACCUGAAUGGAGACUGAGCUCUGACUAUAUAACCCCAGACUGUGCCUUGAUCACAGCCCUGGCUUCUGCUCCAGGCUAAACCCAAGCACUGGCCUUAGACUUGGCUCCAAUUCUAGAGCCAGAACUUCAGAACCCUUACUGAUCACGAGCACAACGUGUGCUCAAGGCAAACAACAUGACAUGUUUCUCCAAAUUAACACCCUACAAUAAAUUGGUGGGAGUAGGAGCAGAAGAGCUGAGAGACAGUGGGACAUCAGGCCAUGUGGAGGCUCUCUACCCUGGCACCAGUCUUGACCAGUUUUGCAGAUUUGAGGUGACUUCCAGGCUGCAGUUGGGAAUGAUGGAGAGGCCAGGGAGGACUUCACCUGUGGUGUGGCAGAAAGCUAGCUACAGGAGUGGGAGGAGGCUGCUUUUCUGUUUUAACGAAUUUAUUUUUUUAUGAAAUAGGCACUAAACUUAAUUGUUACUAUGAUGCUGAAGGAGUCUAUGGCCCUCCAGCACCUUCUCAAAGUCAGUGCCUUGGAACAAGCCCCAGUCAUCCCCUCCUAGUUACAAUUUUGCCUAACACCAUCUCCAGACUGAGCCUGGCUCCCAGCUCUGAACUGACCCCUGACCCUGAUUUCCCAGAUUAAACCUGACCCCGGCUCUGGAUUGAACCUAACUUCAACUCUGAAUGGAAAUCUGACUUUGGCAACAGACUGGGCUUUUUCUCUCCCCCGCCCCUCCACGACAAAUGUCAGGUAAUUUUUUUCUUACUUCUCUCACCCCUGAAAAAAAA